CCUACGGGUGGCAGCAGUGGGGAAUAUUGCACAAUGGGGGAAACUCUGAUGCAGCGACGCCGCGUGAGUGAAGAAGUAUUUCUGUACUUAAAGCUCUAUCAGCAGGGGAGAAAAUGACGGUACGUGACUAAGAAGCCCCGGCUAACUACGUGCCAGAACCCGCGGUAAUACGUAGGGGGCCAGCGUGAUCCGGAUUUACUGAGUGUAAAGGGAGCGUAGACGGCCGCGUAAGUCUGAAGUGAAAUCCCAUGGCUUAACCAUGGAACUGCUUUGGAAACUGUGCAGCUGGAGUGCAGGAGAGGUAAGCGGAAUGCCUAGUGUAGCGGUGAAAUGCUUAGAUAUUAGGAGGAACACCAGUGGCGAAGGCGGCUUACUGGACUGUAACUGACGUUGAGGCUCGAAAGCGUGGGGAGCAAACAGGAUUAGAUACCCUUGUAGUC
rnacentral:rRNA from 1 species